GCGAGCAGCCCUUCUGUCCUCCCCUCAUGUGGUGGUAUCUGGAACAUAAGGUUUAUGUUGCUUCCUGAAUCCCUCCUCAUUCAGACCUCUGCUGGGUUGAAAUACCCUCUUUUCCUCACUUUUUCCUCUUGUAGCACUUCUGAUGCAGUGGGAUUUCUCCUGCAAAUGCUCUCCUAUUUGUCCACAAAUCAUUUGUUUACUCCACAGAGAUGGGACCAGAUCUGUGAUCUUUCAGCUGUGAAAGCACAGACUUCUGACACUGAAGCUUUACUAGCGUGAUGAAUAAAGCCUUUGGCUUGUUUCUGGGAUAUCCCACGACAUGCUAAAUUACUAGUGUACAUACAAAGGCAGUAUAUUUGUUUACAGGGCUGCCUGGAGACUCAUGUCCACCAUAUGCCUUGUUCUUUCUUAUUUUCACAUUUUUAAUGUGUUUCAUUUCACAGCGAGAGCCCACCCUUCCUCCCUUUUUCCUCUUUCCUCCUUUUAUUGCUGAGUGUGACAUCAUAUGGUGUGAAAUGUAUGUCUCUUUUUUUGGUAUCCCUUUCCAGAUUUUUAUCCCUGCUGCUGUAGACGUUACACAUGGCCAGGCCCUUGGGGUUUGCAUGGGCAUGCAGACUGAGAACUGGCUGAUCCUUUUCCCUCUGGUUUUAUCCCUAAGAGACUCAGACCUUCCAGAGCUCAGCACCAGUUUCCAAGUGCUUUCCUGGUUCAGAGUCCACCUGAGCUGUAUGUUUGGGGCAGAGGACUGCUAUGAAGAAGGAUCAAGCCUCAGCUUCCCAGCGGAAAUCCCUUCCAUGCAGGCAUCACAGUACAGCACAACGUCAUGUUUAAACCAAGAUCACCAUCACCCACUUCUGCAAAUGUAUGUACUACAUCGAAGCAGGCAAUGGAAAUCUUCUCAUAAUUAAACUCAAAAUUAUUUCAAAACGCCCUCAAGAUAUAGCUGAGAACUUACUGGAUUUGUUCAAGAUCAGCAUGAAAAUAGGAAAAGAGACACAGUCUGCCUUCUGAUUCGCUGUCUGGCUAUUUUCAUUCAGCUCUGGAGAAGAAUCUUCAAACUCAUUGAUGCCCUCUGCUGCCUUGGGACUGAUUAGUCAUCCCUCACCUCCUCUCCCUGCCCUUUGGAGACUCACAGAACGGCUUUGCUUUCCGUCCAGGCGUUUACAAGUGCUCUGAAUGCAGGGAUGUCCAACCUCCGUGUUCAGCCACUCACCAAGCCCUGGAGUACCUGCAGUGGGAAAUUAUGAUGAGCUGAAAGAUCCAGCCACGAGGGAGGUGGGCAGGGAGGGGAGGAUGAUUUCUGGGUGACUCCAGAGUCACAAGGGGAUUUUUGUACUUGCAAAGUGGGAAGCACAGGAAAAGAGCUGGGGGCAGAGCUGGCUCAGCUCACCUUUUUAAGAGUGAUCUCAGCAGCGGGUGUAACAUAAGACAUGUACAUCCCAGAGCACGCUUAUACAGGGCGGGGGAGUAGGCAGUGGUAGGAUGUGGAAACGUGCGUGAAUCUGAACAGGGGAUCAGCAGGCUGUGUGGUGGGCAGGCUGUGUGGUGGUGUCCGAAGCAGCUGGCAGUGGUGGCAGCGGCAGCAGCACCGCCUGUCCCCGCAGAACAGCCCCGUGCAACGUGGUUAUUGCUGUUUGGGGAUGAGGGUGGCCGUGGCUGCGUUGGGUAUUCCAGCAGAGAGGAGUGAAAGGCUUUCCUGGCCAUGCCAGGCAUCCCCUUCCUUACACCAGCCAGGUGCCUCUUCCACAGCCGUGGCAGCAGGAACAUCCAGAAGCAGCAACAGGACCUCGUUUUCCCCAGUUAUCGUAGUGAAAGCAUAAAGCAACGAGUCUGGAGUAAAACACACAUCUCUCCUGCUCCGCUUGGGCCCUAAGGCUUCAGAAAGUUGAGAUACGUAUUACUCCAUCAAGUUAAUGCAAGUAUUCAGAGGGCUUUUAGAGCUGUUAUGAAAUCUGAAUCAGCAAUCUCGUAUCUUUCUUCCAUUGCAGUAUGUUACCUUUUAGCAGCCCACUGGAAAUGUGUAAACAAACGAGGUACAACUGUAGACAGUUUAAAUAUUUUACAGCUCGCUGACUUCCAUAUGAGGAGGGAUUUGCAGUAACUUAAGUGUUUAGACUCCUGCUCCAAUAAUCUAAUGCAAAUAAAAAUGCAAACAACUGCGUGCUGGAAAGCAGCGGGAACCCCAGAGAACGGUGCAGCUCAAGGUUGCUGCCAGCAAGGAGAAAAGCGAGGCAGCAAGCGUGAUACCUGCACACCCCUGUGCAGACACACGGCGUGUUGGGAGAGUGACACCUAGCAGGGCUCUGUGUGUGCUCGUAGCAAGGUGUCACCCUUGCAGAGCACAUUGCUUGCUGUAACCCGGGAUGGAUUCGCUGGCACCAAAAUCGUUCGACAUCCAGGGACCUGCUUCAGCUCCUCCCAGCCGGAAAUCAUUCAA
ensembl:lncRNA